rnacentral:rRNA from 1 species
UACGUAGGGUGCAAGCGUUGUCCGGAAUUAUUUGGGCGUAAAAGAGCUCGUAGGCGGUUUGUCGCGUCUGCUGUGAAAACGCGAGGCUCAACCUCGCGCCUGCAGUGGGUACGGGGCAGACUAGAGUGCGGUAGGGGAGAUUGGAAUUCCUGGUGUAGCGGUGGAAUGCGCAGAUAUCAGGAGGAACACCGAUGGCGAAGGCAGAUCUCUGGGCCGUAACUGACGCUGAGGAGCGAAAGCGUGGGGAGCGAACAGG